rnacentral:rRNA from 1 species
CCUACGGGAGGCAGCAGUGAGGAAUAUUGGUCAAUGGACGAGAGUCUGAACCAGCCAAGUAGCGUGAAGGAUGACUGCCCUAUGGGUUGUAAACUUCUUUUAUAAAGGAAUAAAACGAGGCACGUGUGCCUUUUUGCAUGUACUUUAUGAAUAAGGAUCGGCUAACUCCGUGCCAGCAGCCGCGGUAAUACGGAGGAUCCGAGCGUUAUCCGGAUUUCUUGGGUUUAAAGGGAGCGUAGAUGGGUUGUUAAGUCAGUUGUGAAAGUUUGCGGCUCAACCGUCAAAUUGCAAUUGAUACUGGCAGUCUUGAGUACAGUUGAGGUAGGCGGAAUUCGUGGUGUAGCGGUGAAAUGCUUAGAUAUCACGCAGAACCCCGAUUGCGAAGGCAGCUUACUAAACUGUGACUGACAUUGAUGCUCGAAAGUGUGGGUAUCAAACAGGAUUAGAUACCCCUGUAGUC